rnacentral:rRNA from 1 species
GAUGAACGCUGGCGGCGUGCCUAAUACAUGCAAGUCGAGCGAACGGACGAGAAGCUUGCUUCUCUGAUGUUAGCGGCGGACGGGUGAGUAACACGUGGAUAACCUACCUAUAAGACUGGGAUAACUUCGGGAAACCGGAGCUAAUACCGGAUAAUAUUUUGAACCGCAUGGUUCAAAAGUGAAAGGCGGUCUUGCUGUCACUUAUAGAUGGAUCCGCGCUGCAUUAGCUAGUUGGUAAGGUAACGGCUUACCAAGGCAACGAUGCAUAGCCGACCUGAGAGGGUGAUCGGCCACACUGGAACUGCGACACGGUCCAGACUCCUACGGGAGGCAGCAGUAGGGAAUCUUCCGCAAUGGGCGAAAGCCUGACGGAGCAACGCCGCGUGAGUGAUGAAGGUCUUCGGAUCGUAAAACUCUGUUAUUAGGGAAGAACAUAUGUGUAAGUAACUGUGCACAUCUUGACGGUACCUAAUCAGAAAGCCACGGCUAACUACGUG